rnacentral:rRNA from 1 species
CCUACGGGCGGCAGCAGUCGAGAAUCAUUCACAAUGGGGGAAACCCUGAUGGUGCGACGCCGCGUGGGGGAAUGAAGGUCUUCGGAUUGUAAACCCCUGUCAUGUGGGAGCAAAUUAAAAAGAUAGUACCACAAGAGGAUGAGACGGCUAACUCUGUGCCAGCAGCCGCGGUAAUACAGAGGUCUCAAGCGAUGUCCGGAAUCACUGGGCGUAAAGCGUGCGUAGGCUGUUUCGUAAGUCGUGUGUGAAAGGCGCGGGCUCAACCGGCGGGGGGCACAUGAUACUGCGAGACUAGAGUAAAGGAGGGGGAACCGGAAUUCUCGGUGUAGCAGUGAAAUGCGUAGAUAUCGAGAGGAACACUCGUGGCGAAGGCGAGUUCCUGGACAUUAACUGACGCUGAGGCACGAAGGCCAGGGGAGCGAAAGGGAUUAGAUACCCCUGUAGUC